CUGCCAAUUUCCUUGUUGUGGAUAAAGUGCUAAGUGUGGAAUCAGAAAGAACAAGUUCAAAUUUUCUCUCACUUACAAGAUGUGUGAUGCUAUGCAAGUCACAUAAUCUGCCUUAGCCUCCAUUUCUUUCCUCUAUAAACUGAGAGGGCUAUAUUUGAUGGCUUCCCAUGUCCUUUUCAACUUUAAAUCUACAAUCAUCUCUAAACCUUUAUUCCAAGUCAGCCACUUCUCUCAAGAGUGUUCUCUGAAUAACUAAAUUUCAGAAACUAAACCAGUGGUGUCCAACUCAAAAGGAAAUUUCUGAAGCCACUAAAUUAUACAUCAUCACGGUCCCUAUUGCCUGCAUUUUGGCUCAGAAAAACAUAUACAUACAUGCAUACAUACAUACAUACAUACAUACAUACAUACAUAUAUACAUAUAACUUUUUAAAUUAAUAAGCUAGCACAUUAAAAUCAGUUUGGAACUACCCUUAAUAUAGCUCAUGUGACUCCUAGGAAGUACUGUUUGAAACCAUUUGUCUGAAACAUUAAUUUCCAGGUCUCUGAGGAACAGGAUAGCAACCGGAGUGGAUAUACUCUGCACUUUCAAGAAGUACUCCUCCAACCAUGUCCUGGACAAAAAGGUGGUUUACUGGGAGCUGACUGAACAGCUCUGUACAAGAAAGCUAAAACACCUGGUUAUAGACAAUGAUAGCCUCAUUGUGAAUGGGUAUCAACAUAAGCUGCCAGGAAUCAGAUCCACAAAGAGUAAGUUUUAGAUUUCUUUAUUGUCUAUUUAUAUCUAUAUAUCUCUCUCUCUUUAAUGGGACACUACAAUGAAAGAUUUUUUAUCUUUUUGUAAGGGAGUAAUAUAAGGCAGAGGAUUAAAAGUGUUGUAGGGAUUCAGAAUUAGAUACACUAUUAGAUAUGGCUAAAGUUUAGACUCCAUUUACUCAUUUGUCUAUUUUCUUUUUGCUACUCAAAAUAUAUAUAAAUAGUUCAAAAGGGAAAAUUAUCCCAGGGGCCUGGGAAAGCAGGCUGUCCCUAUCUCUUUCUUGUUCAAAAUUAAGAGUCAGACCUUGUGGUUUUUCUAAUCUGAUACAAUGAGGGGAUCUCCCAACAUUCCAGAGAGUCUUGUGGCUCUUCCUUAUAUUCUUCAUUCACCAAAGUUGCCCAAUAGUUUUCAUUAAUAAUGUUUUUAUCCUCUGCUUCUUCAAUUAUUACACUCUCUCAAACCUUAGUGUCUUACUCAGUUGUCAUGAUCCUCUGGCAUUACAGGUAGGAAUAAACUAUUCUUAACUUAUCUUCUGGUUUUUCUU
rnacentral:lncRNA from 1 species